CACGUAGGGUGCAAGCGUUGUCCGGAUUCAUUGGGCGUAAAGGGCUAGUAGGCGGCUUGGCAAGUCGGGUGUGAAAUUUCCAGGCUUAACCUGGAACCGCCAUCCGAUACUGCUAUGGCUAGAGUCCGGUAGGGGACCACGGAAUUCCUGGUGUAGCGGUGAAAUGCGCAGAUAUCAGGAGGAACACCGAUGGCGAAGGCAGUGGUCUGGGCCGGCACUGACGCUGAAUAGCGAAAGCGUGGGUAGCGAACAGG
rnacentral:rRNA from 1 species